UGAGUACAAGAUGCUACGGCAUUGAAGCAGUCUAUGUCAUACUUCCAAGGAAAGCUUGCAAUGUCAUAAACAAAUAAUGCCUGUACCAUAACCGACACAGGUGGGUAGGUAGAGUAUACUAAGGGGCGCGAGAUAACUCUCUCUAAGGAACUCGGCAAAAUGACUCCGUAACUUCGGGAGAAGGAGUACCUUAUUUUAUAAGGUUGCAAUAACAAGGUCCAAGCAACUGUUUACCAAAAACACAGGUCUCCGCUAAGUCGUAAGACGAUGUAUGGGGGCUGACGCCUGCCCAGUGCCAGAAGGUUAAAGAAGUUGGUUAGCAUUAGCGAAGCUGAUAACUGAAGCCCUGGUGAACGGCGGCCGUAACAAUAACGGUCCUAAGGUAGCGAAAUUCCUUGUCGGGUAAGUUCCGACCCGCACGAAAGGCGUAAUGAUUUGGAUACUGUCUCGGAGAGGGGCUCGGUGAAAUAGACUUGUCUGUGAAGAUGCGGACUACCUGCACCUGGACAGAAAGACCCUAUGAAGCUUUACUGUAACUUGAGAUUGAAAUUGGACUUUAUUUGCGCAGUAUAGGUGGGAGACCUCGAAAGUAUUCUUGCGGGAAUAUUGGAGUCAUCAGUGAGAUACCACUCUUAUAAUGUUAGAUUUCUAACUUUGUAUCAUUAUCUGGUCAAAGAACAGUUUCAGGCGGGCAGUUUGACUGGGGCGGUCGCCUCCCAAAUGGUAACGGAGGCGCACAAAGGUUUCCUCUGAACGUGUAGAAAUCGUAUCUAGAGUGUAAAGGCAUAAGGAAGCUUGACUGUGAGACCUACAAGUUGAGCAGGGACGAAAGUCGGUCUUAGUGAUCUGACGGUGCUGAGUGGAAAGGCCGUCACUCAACGGAUAAAAGUUACUCUAAGGAUAACAGGCUGAUCUCCCCCAAGAGUUCACAUCGACGGGGAGGUUUGGCACCUCGAUGUCGGCUCAUCGCAUCCUGGGGCGGUAGUACGUCCCAAGGGUUGGGCUGUUCGCCCAUGAAAGCGGUACGCGAGCUGGGUUCAGAACGUCGUGAGACAGUUCGGUCCAUAUCCGGUGUAGGCGUUAGAAUAUUGAGAGGAGCCUUCUUUAGUACGAGAGGACCGAGAAGGACAUACCUCUGGUGUACCAGUUAUCGUGCCAACGGUAAACGCUGGGUAGCUAUGUAUGGAGAGGAUAACCGCUGAAAGCAUCUAAGUGGGAAGCCCACCUCAAGAUAAGUACUCUC
rnacentral:rRNA from 1 species